CAAUAGCGUAUACUUAAGUUGUUGCAGUUAAAAAGCUCGUAGUUGGAUUUCGGAUGGGAUUUGCCGGUCCGUCGUUACGAUGUGCACUGGCCAGUCCUAUCUUGUUGUCGGGGACUAGCUCCUUGGAUUCACUUCCUGGGACUAGGAGCUGACGAGGUUACUUUGAGUAAAUUAGAGUGUUCAAAGCAAGCCUACGCUCUGAAUACAUUAGCAUGGAAUAACACGAUAGGACUCUGGCUUAUCUUGUUGGUCUGUGAGACCAGAGUAAUGAUUAAGAGGGACAGUCGGGGACAUUCGUAUUUCAUUGUCAGAGGUGAAAUUCUUGGAUUUAUGAAAGACGAACUUCUGCGAAAGCAUUUGUCAAGGAUGUUUUCAUUAA
rnacentral:rRNA from 1 species